CCCUUCGGGGAGCUUGUACAGGUGCUGCAUGGCUGUCGUCAGCUCGUGUCGUGAGUAUGUUCGGUUAAGUCCGCUAACGAGCGCAACCCUCGCUGUGUGUUACAUGUGUCAUACGAGACUGCCGGUAAAAGCCGGAGGAAGGUGAGGAUGAUGUCAAGUCAGCAUGACCUUUAUAUCCAGGGCUACACACACGCUACAAUGGUCUGUAUAAUGGGUAGCCAAGCCGCGAGGCGGAGCCAAUCCUGAAAGCAGGCCUCAGUUCAGAUUGCAGUCUGCAACUCGACUGCAUGAAGCCGGAGUUGCUAGUAACCGCAGGUCAGCAAUACUGCGGUGAAUACGUUCCCGGGUCUU
rnacentral:rRNA from 1 species